CUACGGGAGGCUCCAGUGAGGAAUAUUGCACAAUGGGGGGAACCCUGAUGCAGCAACGCCGCGUGGAGGAUGACGCAUUUCGGUGUGUAAACUCCUUUUAUAUGUCAAGAAAAUGACGGUAGCAUAUGAAUGAGCACCGGCUAACUCCGUGCCAGCAGCCGCGGUAAUACGGGAGGGUGCAAGCGUUACUCGGAAUCACUGGGCGUAAAGGACGCGUAGGCGGGUUGGAAAGUCAGGUGUGAAAUCCUACAGCUUAACUGUAGAACUGCACUUGAAACUUCUAAUCUAGAGUAUGGGAGGGGGAGAUGGAAUUAGUGGUGUAGGGGUAAAAUCCGUAGAUAUCACUAGGAAUACCUAAAGCGAAGGCGAUCUCCUGGAACAUUACUGACGCUAAGGCGUGAAAGCGUGGGGAGCAAACAGGAUUAGAUACCCUGGUAGUC
rnacentral:rRNA from 1 species